UUGGAGGGCAAGUCUGGUGCCAGCAGCCGCGGUAAUUCCAGCUCCAAUAGCGUAUAUUAAAGUUGUUGCAGUUAAAAAGCUCGUAGUUGAAUUUCGGGAUCAGUAUGUUGGUCGUGCUUCGGUACGUACUGUCAUUACUGGUUUCUCCCUUCUGAAGAACCUUGAUGUCAUUAAUUUGGCGUCUUGGGGAAUCAGGACUGUUACUUUGAAAAAAUUAGAGUGUUUAAAGCAGGCAUACGCUUGAAUACAUUAGCAUGGAAUAAUGAAAUAGGACGUUUGAUUCUAUUUUGUUGGUUUCUAGGAUCGACGUAAUGAUUAAUAGGGAUAGUUGGGGGCAUUAGUAUUCAAUUGUCAGAGGUGAAAUUCUUGGAUUUAUUGAAGACUAACUACUGCGAAAGCAUUUGCCAAGGAUGUUUUCAUUAAUCAAGAACGAAAGUUAGGGGAUCGAAGACGAUCAGAUACCGUCGUAGUCUUAACCAUAAACUAUGCCGACUAGGGAUCGGAUGAUGUUAUUUUUAAUGACCCAUUCGGCGCCUUACGGGAAACA
rnacentral:rRNA from 1 species